rfam:Myotis lucifugus cont2.33169, whole genome shotgun sequence.
AGUGGUUAUUGGGUGAUGCACCCUGGAAUCGGGCCCCCUCCCCUCUGGUUCUGGGUGUGUGUGUCACCUGAGAACUGCC